rnacentral:rRNA from 1 species
UGGGGAAUUUUGGACAAUGGGCGAAAGCCUGAUCCAGCAAUGCCGCGUGUGUGAAGAAGGCCUUCGGGUUGUAAAGCACUUUUGUCCGGAAAGAAAUCCUUGGCUCUAAUACAGUCAGGGGAUGACGGUACCGGAAGAAUAAGCACCGGCUAACUACGUGCCAGCAGCCGCGGUAAUACGUAGGGUGCAAGCGUUAAUCGGAAUUACUGGGCGUAAAGCGUGCGCAGGCGGUUUGCUAAGACCGAUGUGAAAUCCCCGGGCUCAACCUGGGAACUGCAUUGGUGACUGGCAGGCUAGAGUAUGGCAGAGGGGGGUAGAAUUCCACGUGUAGCAGUGAAAUGCGUAGAGAUGUGGAGGAAUACCGAUGGCGAAGGCAGCCCCCUGGGCCAAUACUGACGCUCAUGCACGAAAGCGUGGGGAGCAAACAGGAUUAGAUACCCUGGUAGUCCACGCCCUAAACGAUGUCAACUAGUUGUUGGGGAUUCAUUUCCUUAGUAACGUAGCUAACGCGUGAAGUUGACCGCCUGGGGAGUACGGUCGCAAGAUUAAAACUCAAAUGAAUUGACGGGGUCAUAGCUGUUUCCU